rnacentral:rRNA from 1 species
UACGUAGGGUGCAAGCGUGUCCGGAAUUAUUGGGCGUAAAGAGCUCGUAGGCGGUCUGUCGCGUCUGCUGUGAAAACUCGGGGCUUAACCCCGGGCCUGCAGUGGAUACGGGCAGACUAGAGUGCGGUAGGGGAGACUGGAAUUCCUGGUGUAGCGGUGAAAUGCGCAGAUAUCAGGAGGAACACCGGUGGCGAAGGCGGGUCUCUGGGCCGUAACUGACGCUGAGGAGCGAAAGCGUGGGGAGCGAACAGG